AGCAACAUAAGAUUGUAAUUAUGAUAAAUAUCUAAUCAGACUAUUCCAUAAGAAAAAUAGUGAUAAACCCAAGCCCUGCAACCAUGUAUGAUAUGUACAGUCAUAAUGAGGUGACUUUUUGUCAGAAUGCCUGGAAUGAUAUUUCCCAAUAACAACCUGGGGAGAAUGGAGAAGAGAAAAGCAGCUGGCGGUGGAAAAAGUGGGAAGAAGAAAUCUGAAGGAGAGCAGAUACUGCUUUGUUGACUAGGCAGAUGGCCAGGCUACUAAUGUACCAGGUCUGGCCAAUCCAUAGACUUCAUACUUCCUGCCCAUCAUGGGAGUUGGUGUUGCACACCUCUGCACCUCAAAGGGACCAAACACAGUCCCAGAUAGCUCACCAAGCAGGGCUCCAGCCUAGGUUCCUAGAUCAAGCCUGAUUACUUGUAUGUGUCAUACUAAGGAUGGGUCUGUUGCUCAGUAGUAGAGCAUCUGGUGUGUAUACUUAAAGUCCCAGGUUCAGUUCCUGGUAUCUGCAGGUAGAGCUGGGGUAAAACUACCUGGAACCAUGAAGAAUUGCUGACAGAGUAAACAGUACUGAGUUAGAUGGACUGAUGGUCUGACUCAGUAUAAGGCAGCUUCUUAUGUACCAAUGUGUGUGUCAUUGUCACAUGAUAAAGCUUUGUGCAAUACUGUUUCAUGUGCUAAAAAAUACCUAAAUCAUGAAAACAGCUAGUUUAUCCAUAGUACAUGAAAACAAGAGGUAAAUUUACCAUGACAACAUUGAGUGCAAAUAUUUUGCAACCAGCUAGAGGAGGCUGAAGAAUAGCACUGCUCUGGCACCUUAUGGGUUAGCAAGUUCAUUUGGCAUGAACUUCUUUAGGGAAUAGCCUGCUUCAUCAGAUGCCUGAAAUGGGACAAAUGGGCUGAAUCCCUGAGGCGCCUGCUCCUGGCACAAGCCACGAGAGCAAGUGAAGGGCAAGCGGGGGAAGGGACAGGUCAAGGGAGAAAGGCAAGAAAGGAGGUGCCUGGGCCAGGGAAAAGCAUAACAUCGGCCCCCAUAGAGACCAGCUCUGGCCUGUGAGGGCUGUUGGGGGAGCCCCUCUCCUCCACCUUCCCAGGUGUACGGAAAGACCAGUGUGCCCUGAGAGGGAGGGAGGAAGGAGGCGCCCAGGCCAGGAAGCUCUUGUCCUCAGCUCCUGAAAAGACCCACAGCCUGAGGCAACGUUUUAUUAAUCUGUUAUUUGCUUCUCUUAAUAUUGUAAACCACUUUGCGUGCCUUUGUCAAGGCAGAAAGGCGGUUUUAAAAUGUAGUAAGUAAGUAAAUAAAUAAAUAAGGGAGAGAAUGAGAGAAACAGGGAGGAGGGGGAGGAAGACAGCGUGAAGCACCUUCUUCUGGCAUGAGUGAGUCCCACACGUUCCCAGGCCCCGCACACUCCACUGCCCUCACCCCUGAACUGCCACCUGAACUGCAGCUUGUCUCUUGGGAAAGGCUCUCCCUUCCUGUGCUUUCCUUCCUGUGCAUGCACCCACCCCUCCCCCAAGCAGCCACCCCCCACAAGAGGGGAUUCUGAAUCAGCUGCAAAUGCAGCUCUCCUUGGGAUAGGUGUACCCUUAUUGGGCCCCACACUCACCUUUAUUCUUUCCCUGAGAGGCUACCUAGAUAGGGGGUGGGGGCAAUCUGUUGCAGCCUGAAAGCACAGUCGCUCUCCAGAUGAAAGGUGAGUGUUCUGGCCCCAUCUCCACCAUCACCGCUCCCCUGAACUAUUUGGGUGGUGGUGGGACCAAUCAGCUGCAGCAGCUCAGGGUACACACUGAUGUCACACCAGUGUGCUGUUUUUGAGUUGCCACUGAUCUUAACCUGGGCUGCUGCUGCUGGCUGUUCGUGGUUGCUCCUUACUUGCUGCUUGUUAUUUGUAAGGAAUACAGCUGAAUCUACUGCUGUGCUUAUAUAACUCAUAUCUAGUAUACUGCCAUAUUUCAGUCUGUGCAUUUUGAUCAUCUUUGGUAGGCUAUUUGAACAUGUCAGAACUUGGAGAGGCUUGUAAAAGAAAAUAACUAAAAACAGUUUUAUUCAAUUACUACAUACUGCUUCCGUCUGAGGCCUCUAGCUUUCUUAGAUACACUCAAAAAUAUUUAGUAGGUUACAAAAAUAGGUUGUCUUAGACAUGUUCAAAUGUUUAUAGGGUCUUUUGCAAUGCCCUAGGUAGGGUGGGUGUUUCUUAUUUCAGGUAGGGUGGGUGUUUCUUAUUUCAAUUACAUUACAGGUAAACAAUAAUAGAACAGUAUCAGGAAUAUGCAAAAGCACACACCAAAGAAACAGAAAUUCUAACACAACCUCUUACUAAACCACUUUCUCCUGCCCUAAACUUCCAAAGCCACUAGCCUUGGCUUCCUUUUUCCUUGACCUCACCAAACUCUGGUUGAGAAUCAGGCCCCUGCAGUUCUGUCUUCCAAGAGCAGCAGUCAUCCUGUUGCAGCAAACUCCAUUGUCACAUGUCCUUCUCAGCACCUCCAGCCUAGCUUCUUCUCUAACAUAGAACUCCCUUCUUCCUGGCAACAGCUCUCUAGGUCUCACCCACCUGGUGAGCUGAUUGGCUGAGCCCUGGAGUUCACCAGCCUGACAGUCAAGAAAAGGGUUCACUUCCAGUUAACUCUUUAGAGGGAGGGGAGGCUGGUCACUACAGAAGCAAUCUAAGUCGUAACUUAUACCAUAAUUUAAGUGGUAAAAAGUGGUAUAAACAUACAGCACUCAGGCUCCCAAUUACUCCUGCACACUUCCUGCCUAGUGUCCCUUAUUCAGGCAGUGGAAUGUUGACAACAUUCCCAUCUCUUACAUCUUUUAAAAGGGCAGUCAAGACACAUUUGUUCACCCAGGCUUUUAAUUAGAUAUUGUUUUAAUUGUGUUUUAAUAGUUUUAACUUUUUAAAUUUUAAUUGUUGAAAUACGUUAAUCUUUUUAUUGGUUUUUUUUAUUGUCUUGUAAACCACCUAGAGAACUUGCGUUUGGGGUGGUAUAAAUGAAAUGAAAUGAAAUGAAAUAAACCCUAUCGGGAUUUUAGGAUCUCAAGUCUGAUGGAAGAAAAAUAGUUUUUACCACUUUUCUGAAUACUUGAUAGAAAAUGCUUGCUGGAGCUCUCUAGGGAGAGAGUUUCACGAAAGGUGACACCACCCCAAAAGGCUGUUUCUACAGCGAUGGUGGCCAGCCUCAGGGUCUCCAGAUGUUGUACCUAUCAACUGGGUAAACUUCCCAUCAACCCAGCCACAAUUUAUUAUCCCAGGCCAGUAGAAUAUUUCUCAUAGCCUCUAUGAGAAAUAUUCAACUGGGAAAGGUAUUGCAAUAAUUGUUCAUUUGUUUAUCAGCUUUGCUUUUAGUUGUCAUGAUGAACAGGUAGUUGUGAUGCUGUGAAAGGUAGGUGUGAAGUAUAAAAUCAGUGGCAGAAAGGGUAGAAUAAAAGGGAAGCUACACAUAAUUGUACUGUGAAAUCAUACUGACUUGGAUCCAAUUCUUUCUGCUUUGUAAGUACUGUAUGUAUGUUCAUAGCUGGGAGGGAAAUAGUUUGGAGCUACUUAGUAAUAUCACUUUCUGCUAUAUUUCAAACUUCCAGUUCACAAUGAAGUGUGUGUUGCUGGGUGUAUAAAAGGAAAGCAAACAUGGGAAUAAGGAAGUCUGGAGUGAUGGAAAAAUAUUACUAGGACAUGGUAAAUGUGUAUUGGGGCGGUCCGAGCCAUUUCCAGAGAGUCUGCAAACCUGGGCCAGUCACUUCUCUCUCAGCCUAACCUACUUCACAGGGUUGUUGUGAGGAGAAACUUAAGUAUGUAGUACACCGCUCUGGGCUCCUUGGAGGAAGAGCGGAAUAUAAAUGCAAAAUAAUAAUAAUAAUAAUAAUAAGAAGAAGAAGAAGAAGAAGAAGAAGAAGAAGAAGAAGAAGAAGAAUUGGUGGGACCAUAAAAUUGAAAAAGUUGAAGAAAAUGAAAAUGUAAAAAUAUUAUGGGACUUCCGACUACAAACAGACAAACAUCUGCCACACAAUAUACCAGAUAUAACUGUAGUCGAGAAGAAAGAAAAACAAGUCAAAAUAAUCGACAUAGCAAUACCAGGGGAUAGCAGAAUAAAAGAAAAAGAAAUAGAAAAAAUCACCAAAUACAAAGAUCUACAAAUUGAAAUUGAAAGGCUGUGGCAGAAAAAGACCCAAAUAAUCCCAGUGGUAAUUGGCGCCCUGGGUGCAGUUCCAAAACAACUUGAAGAGCACCUCAACACCAUAGGGGUCACAGAAAUCACCAUCAGCCAUUACAAAAAGCAGCUUUACUGGGAACAGCCUAUAUUUUGUGAUGAUAUCUAUAAUAACCAACAGUAUUGAUGAUAAAAUUCAGCCAUCCCAGGUCCUUGGGAAGGACUCGAUGUCUGGAUAAAACAAACCAGUCAAUAACACCUGUCUGACUGUGUAAACAAGAAAUAAUAACGUGAAAGACCCUUGUAAGCAACCCGGGUGGGCACUAACCUUUGCUUAACUAACCUUUUUCUCAUCCUAUACCCCUUUUACCCCUCAAUAAAGCAACUCUUUGUUUCAA